UUUAAAGAAAGCGUAAUAGCUCACUAGUCGAGUCGGCCUGCGCGGAAGAUGUAACGGGGCUAAAACUAUGUGCCGAAGCUGCGGAUUUGACAUUAGUCAAGUGGUAGGGGAGCGUUCUGUAAGCCGAUGAAGGUGUAUUGAGAAGUAUGCUGGAGGUAUCAGAAGUGCGAAUGCUGACGUGAGUAACGACAAAACGGGUGAAAAACCCGUUCGCUGAAAGACCAAGGGUUCCAGUCCAACGUUAAUCGGGGCUGGGUGAGUCGACCCCUAAGGCGAGGCCGAGAGGCGUAGUCGAUGGGAAAUUGGUUAAUAUUCCAAUACUUCUGUGUAAUGCGAUGAGAGGACGGAGAAGGUUAAGUCAGCCUGGCGUUGGUUGUCCAGGUGGAAGGUUGUAGGCAUGUAUCUUAGGCAAAUCCGGGGUACUCUAUGCUGAGAACUGAUAGCAAGCUGUACUUGUACAGUGAAGUGGCUGAUACCAUGCUUCCAGGAAAAGUCUCUAAGCUUCAGUUACACAGGAAUCGUACCCGAAACCGACACAGGUGGUCAGGUCGAGUAGACCAAAGCGCUUGAGAGAACUCUGCUGAAGGAACUAGGCAAAAUGGUACCGUAACUUCGGGAGAAGGUACGCUGCUGACGGUGAUGGGACUUGCUCCCUGAGCGGUUGGCAGCCGCAGAAACCAGGCCGCUGCAACUGUUUAUUAAAAACAUAGCACUCUGCAAACACGAAAGUGGACGUAUAGGGUGUGAUGCCUGCCCGGUGCUGGAAGGUUAAUUGAUGGGGUUAGCGUAAGCGAAGCUCUUGAUCGAAGCCCCAGUAAACGGCGGCCGUAACAAUAACGGUCCUAAGGUAGCGAAAUUCCUUGUCGGGUAAGUUCCGACCCGCACGAAUGGCAUAAUGAUGGCGGCGCUGUCUCCAGCAGAGGCUCAGUGAAAUCGAAAUCGCUGUGAAGAUGCAGUGUACCCGCGGCUAGACGGAAAGACCCCGUGAACCUUUACUAUAGCUUUGCACUGGACUUUGAGCUUGCUUGUGUAGGAUAGGUGGGAGGCUUUGAAGCGUGGACGCCAGUUCGCGUGGAGCCAA
rnacentral:rRNA from 1 species